rnacentral:rRNA from 1 species
UCGAGAAUCUUCCGCAAUGGGCGAAAGCCUGACGGAGCGACACCGCGUGCAGGACGAAGGCCUUCGGGUUGUAAACUGCUGUCACGCUCUAGGAAUGCCAUGCUGUUAAUAGCGGCAUGGUUGACCAAGGCGAGAGGAAGUGGCGGCUAACUCUGUGCCAGCAGCCGCGGUAAUACAGAGGGUGCGAGCGUUGUCCGGAAUCACUGGGCGUAAAGGGCGCGUAGGCGGCCCGGUAAGUAGGGGGUGAAAUCUCAUGGCUCAACUGUGAGGGGUCCCUGGAUACUGCCAGCCUUGAGGGGCUCAGAGGAGAGUGGAAUUCCGGGUGUAGUGGUGGAAUGCGUAGAUAUCCGGAGGAAGGCCGGUGGCGAAGGCGGCGCUCUGGAACAUUUCUGACGCUGAGGCUCGAAAGCGUGGGGAGCAAACAGGAUUAGAUACCCGCGUAGUCCCUGAGCGGGCUGGCAAGGCGCAU